AUUGAACGCUGGCGGCAGGCCUAACACAUGCAAGUCGAACGAGUGGCGGACGGGUGCGUAUUGCCUAGGAAUCUGCCUGGUAGUGGGGGAUAACGUCCGGAAACGGGCGCUAAUACCGCAUACUAUCAGAUGAGUCUGGGUCGGUUUAGCUAGUUGGUGGGGUAACGGCACACUAAGGCUACGAUCCCUAGCUGGUCUGAGAGGAUGGCCAGACACACUGGAACUGAGACACGAGCCAGACUCCUACGGGAGGCAGCAGUGGGGAAUAUUGCAGAAUGGGCGCAAGCCUGAUGCAGCCAUGCCGCGUGUAUGAAGAAGGCCUUCGGGUUGUAAAGUACUUUCAGCGGGGAGGCGUUACCCGCAGAAGAAGCACCGGCUAACUCCGUGCCAGCAGCCGCGGUAAUUC
rnacentral:rRNA from 1 species